UUCCUCCUCCUGUUUCGCCCUUCUACGAUUUCCUCCGACCCAGCGCCGCGACGGCACUUCGCACCCGAGCUCACGGCGUCGCGGAGCUCAGCGAAGCCUCGCCGAAGCCUCCAGUCCUCUACUCCGGUUCUCUACCCUUUUUCCUCUCUUCAGUUUGCUGCCUCUUGCGAGGACCGUCGGGCAUGAGGAGCUGAGCUGAAGAUCGGAGACGAUGAGGUCGGAUCGCCGGAACCCUGAACUCGAUCUUAGCUGAGGGUGCGUUCCCAACAGUGGUCACGACGUUCCCUAGCCCUAACACCAAGCUGAUUUCGUCGGAUUUCGCCUCGCCGUUGGUGGGGGAAGCUGUCACUGAGGUAUUGGAGCGGCUUGCUGUGAAGGGCUCGAUCACAAUUCCAGCAGUUGUUCUUCACUCCGAAAACAGUAGGUAUGAGACGUGGUCGAGCGGUAGCCGGUUCUCGUCGUGGUCCGGGACGACCACGGAAACAACCCAUUGAGGCUGAGGAACCAGAACCAGUAACUCAGGAGGCAGAUUCUUCUAGGGAUCCAACAGAUGUAGAGACGGUUAGACGGGGACAGACCCAUCAGACUCCUAGAGAUCAGGGACAUCAGCCUCAGGAGAUCCCUUCAGUCAUACCUUCUGGUAGAAACCAGGAAUUUCAGCCUCAGGGGAUUCCCUCCGGGAUACCAUCUGCAUUUCCUACUCCUACUACUACCGACUGGAUGAGGGAUAGAGCGCGUAUACCAUUGUUGGCAAAGUCCGUCAAGGACAGGGUUACUCUAUACCAGGGCGGAGCAGAUCCUUGGGCUGCACGUAG